rnacentral:rRNA from 1 species
UACGGAGGGUGCAAGCAUUAAUCGGAUUUAUUGGGCGUAAAGGGGGCGUAGGCCGAAAUGAAAGCCGGAUGUGAAAUCCCAGGGCUCAACCUUGGAACUGCAUUCGGAACUCCAUUUCUAGAGGAUAGGCGGAGAAAACGGAAUUCCACAUGUAGCGGUGAAAUGCGUAGAUAUGUGGAAGAACACCGGUGGCGAAGGCGGUUUUCUAGCUUAUUCCUGACGCUGAGGCCCGAAAGCUAGGGGAGCAAACAGG